rnacentral:lncRNA from 1 species
AAUAAAAGCAUUAAUUGUAUCAAAUUGCUAUAAAUCUUAGUGAGAUGCUGUCCCUGUCCUCUUGGUACUAUCUAAUAGAGAAAAGACAGAACUGUAUAUAUCUAUCAUCUAUCACAUUAGGAGGGGCCUGGACCACUGGUAUACAUAGGAAGAGGCACAGGGAAUGAAUUCUAGCUCCACGAAGCCCUAAAUCUAACACACUUGCUUUACUGUAUGCAGAUCACUGAGUUACUUCAGGAUAUGGAAAACAUUUUAUGGAUAUUGUCUGCUGAACCAUAUAGGAACUCUGUGAGGGGCAAGUGCAUGCCUAGAGGCACUGUGGGAGUGGGAGAAAUAAGAAGUUUAGGGAGAAGUGAUGGGCACAAGAAGAAAUUGGACAAUAUGAAGAGGAGAUGUACUAGUUAUAGGGCAAGGGAUGACAGGUAG